rnacentral:sRNA from 1 species
CAGCGAAGCGGAGUUCCAGGGCUACAAUGUUCUGCUCAGUCUCAACAAGGGAGACAUCCUAAGAGAAGUACAACAGUUCCAUCCUGCUGUUAGAAACUCAUCUGAGGUGAAAUUUGCUGUUCAGGCUUUUGCUGCAUUGAACAGUAAUAAUUUUGUGAGAUUUUUCAAACUGGUCCAGUCAGCUUCUUACCUGAACGCUUGUCUUUUACACUGUUACUUCAGUCAGGUGAGUAAAUGAGCUGUGCUUGCAGAGUUGGAAGAAAGCAGGUGGUUCUUGUGCUGUUUGAGUGCUUUCCUAUUCCAAGCUUUUCAAAGCAGGUCUCAGGCUGAUGCUGUGUCACCCUUGCCGCAGCCCCACGAAGGG